rnacentral:rRNA from 1 species
UACGUAGGGGGCAAGCGUUGUCCGGAUUUAUUGGGCGUAAAGAGCUCGUAGGCGGCUUGUCGCGUCAACUGUGAAAACCCGUGGCUCAACCAUGUGGUCUGCAGUCGAUACGGGCAGGCUAGAAUUCGGUAGGGGAGACUGGAAUUCCUGGUGUAGCGGUGAAAUGCGCAGAUAUCAGGAGGAACACCGGUGGCGAAGGCGGGUCUCUGGGCCGAUAUUGACGCUGAGGAGCGAAAGCGUGGGGAGCGAACAGG